UUUAUUAAGCAGCUACCACCUUAGAUAGCUGUAUGCUUUAUCCUUCUGAGGUCUAAAGUCAUAUUCACCUGCAUGAAGGAUGGGCGGGGUUCAUCAGAGAGUGGAGCUGUUUUGAUCAUCUUGCUUUGUUUGAGGAAGUACAGCAGGAGAGGUUAAGAAAGAGCAAAAGCUCUGGAAUGCUACUGAGCAGGAUCCAGAUAUAAGCUCUGCUUCAUUCUGACUUUGAACCUGGGAUAAAGACAAUUUUAUUUGUGGACAGAGUGCCCAUGGAGGGAUCUUAUAAUCACAUCAACCAAUUUCAGAUUCAUCAAACACAUACAAUAUCUAAGUCUAAUUAAUGGAAGAUGGGACGACAUGAACAUCUGUUACAGUGACAUGAUAAGAAGAUGAUGCUUUGUGCCUUCAGUCCAGGUGCUUUACAAGCAUUAAGCUUCUCAGUACCUUUGUGAUCUAGCACUCCUCAUUCAUUCAACAAAUAUUUGAAUGCCCAAAAAAUCCCAGCUACUGAAGGUGCAGGAAAAACACAAAAAGCUCAGAUCGCUGCUCUCAUGAAGUUUACCAACUGGAUGCUGAUAACAACAUUCUCAAUCAGGACUGAAGAAGUGUGUCUAACACUCUGGAAAACACACCUCCCAACUGCCAAAGUGCCUGAAUUUUAUGGAAAACAGAGAGAUUUUCUUUGCUGUCAAGUUUUCUGCCUCUCACUUCCUCCCACAGCUGUGUGUUUGAAUAUUCAGCAGCAGGGUUGGAGGGAGGAGUCAAUUAUUUUUGGUGGGCGACUCUACCUGCACUUUUCCCUUGGUGGUGGAAGCAAAACAAGUGUCAGUAAAAAACAGAGAUUACUGAGAUGUUUGAGUUCUGAAGCUUCCAAUAGAAAAUACAUUUAUAAUGAAUUAUCUUAAAUUAAAUUUUAAUGGCCUCUAAAUUGUAUAUAAAGUACUAGCACAGAAGUAGUCUCCUGUGUGGAUAAACAUCAUUAGUGUGUAAGUAGGAAAACUUCUUUGGCUUCUGUUUCCCUCCGGGUUUUCUAACAGCUUCAUGGAUCCUUUUUCUAUCUAAUGUGAAUGCCAAUAUGCUUUUCUUUUUUGACUUUCCCUGUGAGCCUCCUGUGUUAAUAGCUGGCUUUUGACUUGUCGUUAAAAAAAAAAAAAAAAAGAAAAAAAAAGUGCUAGUUCUCUGCUGAGGUGAAACCUUACCUGCCACCUGCACAUGCUCUUCUGGAAAUGCCUCGUGAUCCUUCAACUCCCAGGAAAUCCUUGGAGGAACGAAAAGGACAGGCCCACCUCCACAGCAGAGCAAGUUCCUGGCUUAGUCACAUCAGUGGGAUGAACGCUCACACGGUGUACUGACAGGUCUGGGUAAACCCAAGUGCUCCUGCAAAUAGGCACCAGGGCUGCUUGGAAACCUGGCAUUACCCUCAAAGGUGUGGGAUUUUGGCUCCCCAGCUUGUUCUUCUGCUUGGAGUGGAAGCUUACCACCAUCCAACCAAACUUUCUGCAUUAAGUGGGGGAGUGCAAGAGGGGUGGGGGAGAACAUGGAGACCUCCUUAACCACCUGGAUUCGGAAAGGGCCAUUACAGGAACAUGGCCCUGUGGUCAGCUCACUGCUACCUCCCACGCUCAUCUAAAUGGCCACACCCUGAGUGGCCUGGUCCAGAGCAGCUGUGUGGACUGCUUGUGUGGUCAUACCAACCCUCAGGAAGAAACAGCCUGCCAAACCCCAGGAAACUUGGAGUUUACGUCAACUUCAUGCUUUCCCAUUAGACUCUGGGAAGAAAGAGGGUGCAGACAGACAUGUGCUCAUGGCCGCUGGCAUAACUCUGGUUCAAACAUUUUCUGUUUUUGACAACCAACUGCUUUUUUAUGAAGAUAUUUUUAAUUUUAAAUUUAUUUGAACCCCAAGACAAAAUAGGGUAUGAAUAAAAAAUGAAUAAAAUCAACAGCUUUCCAUUGAA